rnacentral:rRNA from 1 species
UCUACGGGUGGCAGCAGUGGGGGAUAUUGCACAAUGGGGGGAACCCUGAUGCAGCGACGCCGCGUGGGUGAAGGAGUAUUUCGGUAUGUAAAGCCCUAUCGGCAGGGAAGAAUUUAGACGGUACCUGACUAAGAAGCCCCGGCUAACUACGUGCCAGCAGCCGCGGUAAUACGUAGGGGGCAAGCGUUAUCCGGAUUCACUGGGUGUAAAGGGAGCGUAGACGGCCAGGCAAGCCUGGAGUGAAAGCCCGGGGCCCAACCCCGGGACUGCUCUGGGAACUGUCCGGCUGGAGUGCGGGAGGGGCAGGCGGAAUUCCUGGUGUAGCGGUGAAAUGCGUAGAUAUCAGGAGGAACACCAGUGGCGAAGGCGGCUUACUGGACUGUAACUGACGUUGAGGCUCGAAAGCGUGGGGAGCAAACAGGAUUAGAUACCCUUGUAGUC